GAAAAGAAAUUGAAGACAGAAACCCCUAAAACAAGUACACCUGUUUGUACACCAUCCAAAGUGGUACAUGUAGCAGCUAUUGACGAAGAUCUACCCAUGCUUCAUUCUCCUUCAAAGAAAGAGAAGAGAACAUCCAGCCCUGGACAAUCAUCA